UACGUAGGGAGCAAGCGUUGUCCGGAAUCAUUGGGCGUAAAGCGCGCGUAGGUGGCUUCGUAAGUCCGUUGUGAAAGUCAAAGGCUCAACCUUUGAAAGCCGAUGGAUACUGCGGAGCUAGAGUACGGAAGAGGCGAGUGGAAUUCCUGGUGUAGCGGUGGAAUGCGCAGAUAUCAGGAGGAACACCAAUGGCGAAGGCAGCACUCUGGGACGUGACUGACGCUGAGACGCGAAAGCGUGGGGAGCAAACAGG
rnacentral:rRNA from 1 species